rnacentral:rRNA from 1 species
AGUGAACGCUGGCGGUAGGCCUAACACAUGCAAGUCGAACGGCAGCACAGUAAGAGCUUGCUCUUACGGGUGGCGAGUGGCGGACGGGUGAGGAAUACAUCGGAAUCUACUUUUUCGUGGGGGAUAACGUAGGGAAACUUACGCUAAUACCGCAUACGACCUACGGGUGAAAGCAGGGGAUCUUCGGACCUUGCGCGAUUGAAUGAGCCGAUGUCGGAUUAGCUAGUUGGCGGGGUAAAGGCCCACCAAGGCGACGAUCCGUAGCUGGUCUGAGAGGAUGAUCGGCCACACUGGAACUGAGCCACGGCCCAGACUCCUACGGGAGGCAGCAGUGGGGAAUAUUGGCCAAUGGGCGCAAGCCUGAUCCAGCCAUACCGCGUGGGUGAAGAAGGCCUUCGGGUUGUAAAGCCCAUUUGUUGGGAAAGAAAAGCAGCAGGUUAAUACCCCGCUGUUCUGACGGUACCCAAAGAAUAAGCACCGGCUAACUUCGUG